rnacentral:rRNA from 1 species
UUCGCCCUUUUCCGGUUGAUCCUGCCGGACCUGACUGCUAUCGGAUUGAUACUAAGCCAUGCGAGUCAUUGUAGCAAUACAAGGCAGACGGCUCAGUAACGCGUAGUCAACCUAACCUAUGGACGGGAAUAACCUCGGGAAACUGAGAAUAAUGCCCGAUAGAACACUAUACCUGGAAUGGUUUGUGUUCCAAAUGAUUUAUCGCCGUAGGAUGGGACUGCGGCCUAUCAGUUUGUUGGUGAGGUAAUGGCCCACCAAGACUAUUACAGGUACGGGCUCUGAGAGGAGUAGCCCGGAGAUGGGUACUGAGACACGGACCCAGGCCCUAUGGGGCGCAGCAGGCGAGAAAACUUUGCAAUGUGCGAAAGCACGACAAGGUUAAUCCGAGUGAUUUGUGCUAAACGAAUCUUUUGUUAGUCCUAGAACCACUAACGAAUAAGGGGUGGGCAAGUUCUGGUGUCAGCCGCCGCGGUAAAACCAGCACCUCAAGUGGUCAGGAUGAUUAUUGGGCCUAAAGCAUCCGUAGCCGGCUCUGUAAGUUUUCGGUUAAAUCUGUACGCUUAACGUACAGGCUGCCGGGAAUACUGCAGAGCUAGGGAGUGGGAGAGGUAGACGGUACUCGGUAGGAAGGGGUAAAAUCCUUUGAUCUAUUGAUGACCAC